UGUUGAUCUUUAGAUGUGCCUUUUUUGGUAUUUGAAGAUUAUUUGAUUUGGCUUGUGUUGUGAAAUACAUAUAAUCAUCAGAUCAUGUGAACUUAUUUGUCUUUCCCUGCCUAACAAAUUUUAGGUAGAGCUAUAGAUGUGGUUGGAUAUGCUCAAGAAUUUGAUCAAUACGGUCCUCCUGGCAACAUUGCCUACCUGAGCAAUGCUUGUUUCCCUAAUAUUAUGAAAACAAAAAUGCUUGUGUCCUUAAGAAAUGUACAUAUGUAAAAUGAAGGCCUGUGGAGAUUAUCUUUCUGGUUUCUUAACAAGUUGUUUCCUUCCAUCGAGUGAAUUACUAACUUAAUAGUUGUAAUUUUUUUUUUUGAAAAGAAACUUAAUAGUUGGAAAUGAUACAAGAUCCAAAACGCUGCCUGAAGCUACACUACAGGACCAGGAAACACAUAUCGCAGAUCUGAUACAAACUGUUCACUGCCGAAAUCACAGCCAAACUUUUUAGCUUUGACAUGAUAUUUUGCAGCAUUCUUAUCAGUUAAUAAAGUUUUGUUUCAUAAAAAAAAAAAUUUAAAAGUUCCCUUUAUUUCUUAAUUCAUUCAUUGUUUCAUUUUUUUCAGUAGCAAUAAGAUUGCCUGUUGUAAUUAGCUUGUUGCUCAUAACUGCUUAUGCUUGACUAAAUGGUGAAUAUUAAUUCGUGUAUUUCUAUUUGCUUCUCUCUCAGUUCGUUGCCAGUUUCUGGGAUGGAAUUAGCAUAUAGGUCUUGUUUGUGUGGCACAAAGCUUUUCCUGUAAGUCUGAAUAAAUAAUGGGCAGCUCCAUUCAGCAGGAUCAGUAUAUUCUUCAGUUUGUUUUUCGUUUAACUGGUAGUCUCUAAAUCUAACUUCAUGCACAUAUUUGUCUGAAAUGGUUGUGAGGUGUUUUCUCAUGGGUCCUUCCUUAUAUAAGCACUCCCAAAUCCAUAUUACACCCAGGAGACGGGGCUUUGAUUCUGAAACUACUCUGCUCUGUAUCCUUAUCCAAGUAUGCUAGGUUUGCAAUUUAACCAGUUAUCACAUACAUUGUAAUUUGCAACAAAUUCUGAAUGUGUUCUUUGUAAUUUUCCAAGUGAUUUCCACUCAUAUCCAGACUCAUAUGAAAGAACUUACAUCCUGAGGAAGUUGUUUUAUACAACGUAGUACUGACCUGUUACAGAGGAAUGUGGUGAACUUUGAAAGAGAAAGAAAUUUGGAAAUUCAUCUGACCUGAGAUGAAUGUGCUUUUGGAUUUGAGGGUGGUGCGAAACAAUUGCACAUUCUCUAUUUUCCUGUUUUUGUAUUGUUAACAAGAUUAGUGAUCAGCAUUACCUCCAGCAAAUGCUCAACCCCAAACUGCCCCAACUGCAGGGAGCCAUAUGCAUCUGAUGCUCUAAUGGGCAAAAAAGUGCUUAAAGAUAUCAGAGUUGGCGUGCGCUGUGUGCUCUACAAAAACAAUUUAUCAAUGGCGUGAGCUGCAGAUAUAUGUGGAAUCAAAACAGGGAGGCUAUCAACAGGAAUAUGCGCAUUCGCAAGUCUUCCAGUCGAAACAUGUUGCGUUGUAAAGCUGCCAAUAUUUGGAAUGACACAGUACCUUGCAGUCGUUGGGGUUGCAAGAUUUUUCUGGUCCUAUGCUCAUAUCAAGCUUGUCAUAGCACGUUACCUCUCUACAACUCACUCCACCUGCAACGUUAAGUAGUCGCAUUUAUGUAUAAUUUUUCAUAUAAUUUCUACACAGAGAGAGAGAGAGAGAGAGAGAGAGAGAGAGAGAGAGAGUCUACCUGCUGAGAUGGCAAAGAAAAGCACAAGCAUGAAAGAGAGAGCAAUGGCUUUCUUCAUAUUGUGAACAAAGGUCUUACAGAAACUUGGAAUGAGAUUCGAUUCUGGUGCUGGUGCUGGUACUGUGCAUAAUUGACUACAUGAUCUACUUAUUUAUUGGUGAAGGGUUGGCCUUAUCAAAUAGCUUUUUGAAUGAGUUUGGAUUGAGAAAAAUCAGACGCAGAGACCAAUUUUAGAUUGGGGUCAACUAAUUAGGUUGAUAGAAGAAUCCAUCAUUAAUUGUGUGUGUGUGUAUACAGCCAAAACAGCCUCUGCUCAACUAAGUGCCUUGACUCGCAAGGAAUGUCUCAAAUCGAUCCUAUGCCUGACUCAUUCUAAAUAAGCCCCUAGCUGGCAAGUGAUCCUGUGGGCAUGGUAGCAUUUUCAUUUUUGUCAACACAGAUACAAUAUCGAUACGCAAAAUAACAUGGCUACAAAUUAAUUUUGUUUACUGCAAAUUUAGCACUCAAAG